rnacentral:lncRNA from 1 species
UGGGAUGUAUGUAGUUUGGUCUAGCUGCCAUCAUCUUGUUGCCCCUCCUUGGGCUUCAAACUCGGGUCGCCAAGCUUUGCAUAUUUAGCUGUUUUGCAUGCUAGUGGAGCUAGUUGAUGCGUUCAACCAUCAAAAUAGUAAAAAUAGAUAGAGAGACAUCAGAUUUAUUCAUAAUUGCAAGUAUGCAACAAUGAUGAACAAAUAAAGUAGAUGCAAAAAAUCAAUUCUAGGGGCAGAACUAGGGCAAACAGAGGUCAAAAUGGAAAGAGCAUUCAUGAGAACAUAUUUAGGAAACCAGUUUGAAUUGGUUCAAAAUCAGUUAAAAAAGGGUGAGCUGGGCGGUAAAAA